GGGGUGGUGGCUCAGUAGUAGAGCACUCGCCUAGCACAUGAGAGGAACUGGGUUCGAUCCUCUGCCCCA
rnacentral:tRNA from 1 species